CCUGCUGGACGGAAGGGGCGUCAGUGCUGCUCUGCCCUCUGCCCGGGCGCCCUGCUCCAAGGAGGGAGCCUCAGCUUCUCCGGGUCCCUCUCCGCGUCACUGCGGCCUCCCCGUUUGUAAGGUGGAAGGUCCUCACUCCGGACAUCCCUUCCUGAUUUGUUGGGGGGGCGGCCCACAGAGACAGCACACGGGCAGAGGGCCAGGGGCUCCAGAAUCCCACAGCCUCGGGCCGGGCCCGAGUCCUCGUCACCGCUGGCUCCGCAGCAGCACGUGCUGGCUCCUGUUCUACAUGAAGUAACGAAGGCCUGACCAUGGGAGUCACCCGGCAGGUAGCAGGAAGGAAGAUUUGAUGCUGCACACUGAUCUCCUGUUCCCAGCAGGAGCAAUGAAGCGAUGGUGCCUGCCACCUCUCGAAGGGCACUGCUGUCAUGGUAACGAGGAUGAGAUGCGCCCACCGCUGGCUACCGGCACAGGAGUGAGGGGCAGACGAGGCCCGCCAGCAGCUGCAGAGGCCAGCGGGGAGCCGGGCUUUAGGGUAACAAGGAGCAUAAAGGGGACUGAUGUGGGAGAAGCUGGACAACCAGCAACCACAGCAAAGCCAGAGUCCACAUACAAGUUCGGUCACGUGAUCCUUGCCUUUCUCUGACUUACUUCACUCAGCAUAAUGCCCUCCGGGUCCCUCCAGGCUGUCUCGGGGGUGAGAGAUCCUUCUGUCUCACUCUGCACAGUGUUCCACGGUGUGACUGUGCCCCAGCUUUCUCAUCCACUCGGCCACUGAUGGGCACUUGGGCUGCAUCCCCAAGUUUCUUAAGAAUGCAACCAGUGCACUCAGAAUACACGUUUUUUAUGGCUUUAAAUAGUGACUUCCUUGGGCGGUAGUCACGUGCUGAUAUUUGACAAAGAACGGACUAAGAAACCUCUGAACAGGACAGUGAAAACGGGACUCACCUUCCCCCAGGGACGACGGGAACACGGGAGCAUCUCCGCCCGGGGGCGUCUGAGGAGAGUUGUGGGCACUGGCCCCCUUGGAGCUGCCUCCAGACAGGACCUGGCUCUCGGCCGCGGCUGCUGUGAAGUAGAUGUCCGACUGGGAGGAAAGAGAUCAGGCACGUGAGGGCUGCCGGGCGCUGGGGACCCUCGUCCUCGCUCAGCUCCUCAGCGCACCCCAGGGCGGCGCUGUGCCCGGUGCUGGGGAGAGGCCGCACAGCCCCCUUCACUGCACCAAACCACCGCUCGCGGGGGGGUAAGAGGGGCGCCCCCCUCACUGCACCAAACAACCGCUCGCGGGGGGUAAGAGGGGCGCCUGCAGCCCAGGGCCGCACAUGAAAACCCCACCGGGAGCAUUUCCAGCCUCCUCAUCGCCCCCUGGCGUCCUGACACCUGACGGGCUGGGAGGGGAGUCUCCUGGCCUUGGGGCCCACAGCCCCUCGGAUGGAAACAUGGGGUCUGCUCACCCUGGAGGCCACGAGCUGCAGCUGAGGCACGACCGCGGUGUGGACCAGGUUCCCGUUCACCACCAGGCGGAUCUCCAUGGAGUCGGGGGUGAAGGCCAGGAGAUGAGAAAAUUGAGGCGAGGAGAGGUGAAGUAGCUGGUCCGAAGUCUCAGCAGUACCAUGUGGGGAGAACACGGGGCCGCCUGACUGCAGAGAAGGGACACUUGCUGGAAGCCCUCGGAUCAGGAAGCCCCCCUGAGGGGCAGGUCCGACACGGAGCCCCACUCGGCAGGACUAGUGGUGAGAGCUCCACAUGUCCCUCCUCCCAACAUUUUAUUAGGAAACCUGAAGCCACAUGCCUGCAUCGCCUGGUGACCCUGAGCCAGCAUUAGACUAAGGCCAGGUUACUUCAGCUACCCUGUUCCUGCCUGCUCCCAGCUCUAAACACCAGUCCAGUGGUUUGGACCCUCUCGUAGGGAGGGCGUUCACGUAGAAGCGGAGGCCCCUUGUACUCCAGGAGCCACCAUGGGUUAGCCAUACAAUUUUAUUCUUAAACCCUUGACCUCUCUUCCUCCUCUCGCUAUCACCCUCUUCCCCUGUCUCUUUUUCCUUCAAAGCAAAAGUCUUUGCGAGACUUGUCUCUAUUCCUCUUCCCCAUUCUCUAGUGUCCUGUGUGGUCAGCUUUUGCUCCCACUUCUGCCCCAGAGACACCUGCUCGGAACAAGGUUCCCAGCGACUCCACCUGGUAAAGCCAGAGCGGCUCUCAGACCCGCCCACUCCUGGUCUUCCUCCUGCCGCCCUCCGUCUUCCGUGCUGGCUCCGCCUGUCUCUCUCCCACUUCUCUUUACACAGUCUCUUCAGUCUCGUGACUCCAGAUGUCAGUUACAUGCUAACGACACCCAGUGGUAUCUCCCGCCAGCCCUCCCGCUGGGCGCCCAGCUCCGGACGUGACCCAGCUGAUGGCUCAGGGCUCCACUGGGAUCACUGGGAGGCGCCGACGCGUCCAAACUGAACUCGGAUGUUUCCCCCAAGCGCCCUCCUCUUCAGGGUCCCUCUUCCCGGUAAAUGUAUCCUCCAUUCUUCCGGCGGCCCGGGCCCCACCUGCAGAACCUGCCUCUUCCUCUCAUACUGUCUGUCUGACCCAUCAGCCAAAUGCCUGGGUUCUCAGAUUUAAAAUACACCCAGGAACGGCCAUCUUUCGCCAGGUGAGUGCGGCCACGAGGAGUCCCUGUGGUCAAAAUUCUGGGCGAGGGAGUCACCGGGGCCGAAUGCGAGCCCUGGCUCCGCGGCUUCGCAUGAUCUGAGGAAGGCAAUUCCCCGCCCCCCGCCUCAGCUGCCUUUUCUCCAAACUACAGGUAAUACGAGCACCUGAGAAUCACAGAGAUGCUGACUCCAGCGUCCUGAGUGCCGCACGUGGCAGGCAGCAAGGGCUCCCUAACGGAAGCUGUCACUCUAACUGUCACCCCCACACCCUGGAGACGGGGCCACGAUCCGGGCGUAUUGGUAGAUCUAGUUAGGAAUGCAAUUUUUAGAUGUUUCCUGGAGCGCAGUUAAGGGCACGGGAAUGAACCAUUAGGCAAGUCUAGGGUUAGGUCCCUUCAAAUUGCCCCCCAAAAGGGACGGUGGACUUCAGCAGAUAAAGACACAAACACAUUGCUCACUUACAGUUGUAACACAAGAGCAGCCCGGCUUCCCCGUCUUCGUAAACAUCAAUAGCUGCAACGAAAUGAACCUGCAAUGAUAAUGAGCGGGGUCGUGGGCAGGCGGGAAGUUUCAGGGGCUCCCAGCACCCCGCCCAACAGCAGCCUCCCGCGUCCCUCAGGUGCCUUUGUGCACCACGCUGCCCCUGGGCUGCCUGCCCUGCCCUCCCAGUGGGGGCUCGUGCGGCCUCCUGCAUUCGGCUCAUCUCGCUCCAGGGCAGCAGUUGGCAUCAGGCAGGUCUAUGGGGACUCUGCCAGGACUGAGCUGACAGUGUGGCUGUGUUCAGAGUCAGGCUGUGGGGCAGGCCAUGGCGGAGCGCCAGCCACGGCCGGGAUCAGGGACAGAGCCACAGCGGAGCGCCAGCCACGGCCGGGAUCAGGGACAGAGCCACAGCGGAGUGCCAGCCACGGCUGGGAUCAGGGACAGAGCCACAGCGGGGGCCUCCCCACUCCCUCCUGAGUCCUCCGCAGCCUGUCAGGCCGUUACUGACACUCAGCACGGCAGACCCGCUUCAUGCUUCAACCCAAUCCCUGCCUCGGUCUCUCCGGGGUGAGGGCCCGGCAGGACCAGCUCCACGACCGUUUCUCCAGGUGAGGACAUGAGAGCCAGCUAGAGAGCUUUCGGAAAAGGCAAUUCCGGGUCCUCACUCCUAGAUCCUGACGUUAUAGUGUAAUGUGGGGCAUUGGCUUUUCAAUGUUUUUUUGCUUAAAAAGCAGUUCAUUUUAUUGGCAUUUAGAAAUGAUGAAAAUAACAUAUGGUGUUUGUGAAAAUGAAAAAGCACAGCUUUGUAACACGUGAGGCCUGUGCCCUGCCUUCCCAGCGCCCGCGGAAGAGGAAGCCCAGCUGGGCCCGUGGCCAGCCCUCCCGUGUGGCUCGGGGUGAGCUCCCAACUGGGAACCCCUGGGACUGGGGCCCACAAAUAAGCCAGAGACCUGAUCUUGUGACCACCUAAUACUGAUACGAUACAGAACCUGCUAACCGUGGCUUCACAGAGCUGGAAGCCACACCGCUGGUCGCCUUCCAUCCCCCCUGCCUGUGGCUGCGACUCACCCUGCUGGCCUCCACAUGGUGCAGCCGGAAGGCCUCCCCCGUGCUCUCGUUCACCACGUCAAACUGGUGUCGAUAAGCCACGCAGAUGAGAUUGUCACUCUCUUCUGUUGGCCCGUCUACUAAAGUCAUCACCACGGGAGAGUCGGUCAGACAGAUCUCCUGUGUGGUUGACAGGGUAGGAGAAACGGUCAGGACACAGACAGCCAUCUUCAUAUCAAGCCCCACUGCCCGCCCCAUCCAGAAGGGGGCCCCCUCCCAGGUCCUGCAGACCCUGCUCCUGACAGAGAGUUCUCCCCGACACCCUGUCCUCAGGACCAGACCUCCUCCACGCAUUGGGGCGGGGCCAGGGAACACUUUUACAAAAGUGAUUCAACAAUGUGGUUUGAGUUAGCCCUUAGAUUAUCUGGUCCUGUCCUGUGAGAGAUUUAAUAAUAAUAAUAAUAAAAAUAAUUGCUAACUUUGUUGAGCACUUAACACAGUGCCAAGCAACCACUAUUCUCACUGAAGACUCAUGACAACCUUAUGAAGUAGGUAAGGUUAUUAUCCUACUUUGCAGAUGAGAAAACAGAGGCUCAAAGGUCAUGUGACUUGCCUACGGUCACAUGGUUUAUAUGUGGUACAGCCAAGAUCUGAACUCAGGAAAACUGACUUCAGAACUCGUAUGCCCCAUAAAUGGGCAUACAUAUUCAUUAAAAUUGCUAAUAACUGUAUCAAGAAGACUAAUAGCUAAUUAAAGCAGAAACUGAGAUGCAUAACUCCAGGCAAAAUCAUCUCUCAGCUUGCCUACAGGCAUACUCUGCCUUGGCUGCCAAUGCUUGACACAGUCCAUACCUUAAUGUACCACAGUUUUUAAAAAGUUAGAAAUGGUAAGCUCAGGGAAGGAACCUGUCCCUCAAGGAGGCUUCUCCUACAAGUUCCACCCUCAAUCGAUUAGCAAACCUAGUGGCUAGUGGCCUGGCUGCUCUGCCACGGCUUCCUCCACCUCUGCAGCCGCCCACGCCACCACCGUCUCUCGCUGGGCCUGCAGUGGCCUCUCAGCAGGACACCUCAUCCCCAUUCUUGGCCCAUGCUCGCCUCUGCGCAGCGGCCAGAGGAGGCUCCAUAAAACAUGCAGCUCUGCCCAGCCGGUGUGGCUCAGUGGUUGAGCUUCAAACUAUGAAGCAGGAGGUCACAGUUCGAUUCCCAGUCAAGGGCACAUGCCCAGGUUGUGGGCUCGAUCCCCAGUGUGGGGUGUGCAGGAGGCAGCCGAGUAAUGAUUCUCUCUCAUCAUCGAUGUUUCUCUCUCUCUCCCCCUCCCUUCCUCUCUGGAGUCAAUAAAAAUAUAUUUUAAAAAACCAGGCCAGUUCUCUGCUUCAAACCUUCCAGAGGCUUCCCCUUCACUCAGUCACAACCACAGUCCUGGGCAGCAGCCUGGUCCCGUGCCCCGGCCUCCCUGCCUCUUUACUCAGCCCGGGCACCCGCCUCUUGCCUGAGCCUUGGCCAGGGUCCGAAAUGCCCUCUCCCCGAUACCCUCAUCACCCACUCCCAUAUUUCAUUUGGAUCUCUGCUCAGGGUAACCUUUCCAGAGAGGGUUUCUGGGACGUCCUUCCUAGGAUAGAGCCCCCCGCCCCCCGCCCCAUUGCCCUCUGCUGUUACCCCUACUUUGCUGUUAUCCUCAGGACCACAGACCUGCCUGCUGAUUCCUGUUACCCUGCAGCUAGCAAGCAAUCUCUCGGAGAAGAGUGGCGUUUUGUUCACUGCUGUGUCCCCAGUGCCCAGAACACCCCUUCGGUGGUCACGGGCCUGGGAUCUGGGUGGAGAAGGGAAAGACCCCUUUGGCCUUAGUCCUCUGGGGGGACAGGGCUUCAGGUGAGGGUUCCCCGAAUGGGCUACUGUCUGUGGAGCAACCCCAGUGGAUGACAGACUCAGCGUGGAAGGAGAGUCGGCCUGGCCCGGAGAGAGGGGGUUUGAACAGAAGACCUACCCUGAUGUACUGGAAUUCUUCGACGGGGGACUCCGACAGGGGGGAUAACAGCGAGGGGCCGGGCAACCCUCUUAGCUUGUUGUGUUUCCUUGUGAUCAGAAGCAGUUUAUUCCGGAUGGCGACCACCACCCUCAGCUCUCUGCUGUGGUGAGUGUUAAUGGCAUACAAGUGGCAGCCUGGAAAGAGAAAUCCAUGAUGCUGAUCAGGACCAGAGGUUGCCAGCCCCCAGGCCUUGGCAAUCGGGACCUUCCUAGGAUCCCCCGAAAUUAGAAAUAACCCAGUGAAAUGGCUAAGAAUGCUGCUGCCACCUGGCAAAAUGGAGACUUGGAAUAAAAACUGGGUUGAGCUACAGGAAAAUUAAGGACGUUAGUUCCCUUUAUUGUAGAGUUUGUGGUCUCAGCUUCCUAUCACAACAUGAUAUGAAUUAAAGUGAGGGUGAUUGAGCUCCAGAAACCCACGUCUAAACCAGCCGUGGGCAAACUACGGCCCGCGGGCCGGAUUUCCGGCCCGUUUGAAAUGAAUAAAA